rnacentral:rRNA from 1 species
UACAGAGGGUGCAGGCGUUAAUCGGAAUGACUGGGCGUAAAGGGCACGUAGGCGGAUAGAUGUGUCAUAGGUGAAAAUCCCCGGGCGUUAACCUGGGAACGUGCCUGUGAAACUGUGUAUCUAGAAUAUAGGAGAGGGAAGUGGAAUUUCCGGUGUAGCGGUGAAAUGCGUAGAUAUCGGAAAGAACACCAGUGGCGAAGGCGACUUCCUGGUCUAAUAUUGACGCUGAGGUGCGAAAGCGUGGGGAGCAAACGGAGUA